rnacentral:rRNA from 1 species
AACGAACGCUGGCGGCAGGCCUAACACAUGCAAGUCGAACGCUCCAGCAAUGGAGAGUGGCAGACGGGUGAGUAACACGUGGGAACCUUCCCUAUGGUUCGGAAUAGCUCAGGGAAACUUGGGGUAAUACCGGAUAAGCCCUUCGGGGGAAAGAUUUAUCGCCAUUGGAUGGGCCCGCGUCGGAUUAGCUAGUUGGUGAGGUAACGGCUCACCAAGGCAACGAUCCGUAGCUGGUCUGAGAGGAUGAUCAGCCACACUGGGACUGAGACACGGCCCAGACUCCUACGGGAGGCAGCAGUGGGGAAUAUUGGACAAUGGGCGCAAGCCUGAUCCAGCCAUGCCGCGUGAGUGACGAAGGUCCUCGGAUUGUAAACUCUUUGGCGGGACGAUAAUGACGGUACCGACAGAAUAAGCCCCGGCUAACUUCGUGCCAGCAGCCGCCGUAAC